AGUGAACGCUGGCGGUAGGCCUAACACAUGCAAGUCGAACGGCAGCACAGUAAGAGCUUGCUCUUACGGGUGGCGAGUGGCGGACGGGUGAGGAAUACAUCGGAAUCUACUUUUUCGUGGGGGAUAACGUAGGGAAACUUACGCUAAUACCGCAUACGACCUACGGGUGAAAGCAGGGGAUCUUCGGACCUCGCGCGUGUGAAUGAGCCGGUGGCGGAUUAGCUAGUUGGUGGGGUAAAGGCCCACCAAGGCGAUGAUCCGUAGCCGGUCUGAGAGGGUGACCGGCCACAUUGGGACUGAGAUACGGCCCAGACUCCUACGGGAGGCAGCAGUGGGGAAUAUUGCACAAUGGGCGGAAGCCUGAUGCAGCAACGCCGCGUGCGGGAUGACGGCCUUCGGGUUGUAAACCGCUUUCGCCUGUGCCGAAGCGUGAGUGACGGUACUGGGUAAAGAAGCACCGGCUAACUACGUG
rnacentral:rRNA from 1 species